UGGGGGAUAUUGCACAAUGGGCGAAAGCCUGAUGCAGCGACGCCGCGUGGAGGAUGAAGGCUUUCGGGUUGUAAACCUCUUUCGCUAUCGAACAAGGCCCGCUUAGGGUGGGUUGAGGGUAGGUGGAGAAGAAGCGCCGGCUAACUACGUGCCAGCAGCCGCGGUAAUACGUAGGGCGCGAGCGUUGUCCGGAAUUAUUGGGCGUAAAGGGCUUGUAGGCGGCUUGUUGCGCCUGCUGUGAAAACGCGGGGCUUAACUUCGCGCGUGCAGUGGGUACGGGCAGGCUUGAGUGUGGUAGGGGUGACUGGAAUUCCAGGUGUAGCGGUGGAAUGCGCAGAUAUCUGGAGGAACACCGAUGGCGAAGGCAGGUCACUGGGCCAUUACUGACGCUGAGGAGCGAAAGCAUGGGUAGCGAACAGG
rnacentral:rRNA from 1 species